rnacentral:misc_RNA from 1 species
UGGUUCUGGCAUCGAUGAAGAACGCAGCGAAAUGCGAUAAGUAAUGUGAAUUGCAGAAUUCAGUGAAUCAUCGAAUCUUUGAACGCACAUUGCACCCCCUGGCAUUCCGGGGGGUAUGCCUGUUCGAGCGUCAUUACAACCAUCAAGCCCAGCUUGGCAAUGGGCCCCGUCUCUUCCGAGGCGGGCCCCAAAACAGUCGGCAGAGUCUCGCGGACCCGCCGGGCGUAGCAGAAAAGGAAGGCUCACGCCGACCCGUCACGUCCGAGCGACCGCGUCUCCCGCCGUAAAACAAAUGGCCCGCGAGGGCCGCACCUGAAGGUUGACCUCGGAUCAGGUAGGGAUACCCGCUGA